UCUAAUUUUAUUAACUUGGGUCUUCUCUUC
rnacentral:piRNA from 1 species